rnacentral:rRNA from 1 species
UGCGUAGGGGGCAAGCGUUGUCCGGAUUUACUGGGCGUAAAGAGCGUGUAGGCGGCCAGGCAGGUCUGUUGUGAAAACUGGAGGCUCAACUUCCAGACGUCGACAGAAACCGCUUGGCUAGAGUCCGGAAGAGGAGAGUGGAAUUCCUGGUGUAGCGGUGAAAUGCGUAGAUAUCAGGAGGAACACCGAUGGCGAAGGCAGGUCUCUGGGCUGACACUGACGCUCAUGCACGAAAGCGUGGGGAGCAAACAGG